UACGUAGGGUGCAAGCGUUGUCCGGAAUUAUUGGGCGUAAAGAGCUCGUAGGCGGUUUGUCGCGUCUGCUGUGAAAACGCGAGGCUCAACCUCGCGCCUGCAGUGGGUACGGGCAGACUAGAGUGCGGUAGGGGAGAUUGGAAUUCCUGGUGUAGCGGUGGAAUGCGCAGAUAUCAGGAGGAACACCGGUGGCGAAGGCGGCUCACUGGCCGGUUCUGACGCUGAGGCGCGAAAGCGUGGGGAGCAAACAGG
rnacentral:rRNA from 1 species